GUUCUCACUUUGGCAGCACAUAUAUUAAAAUUGGAAUGAUAUAGAGAUUAACAUGGCCCCUGCGCAAGAAUGACACACAAAUUCGUGACGUAUUCCAUAUUUUA
rnacentral:snRNA from 1 species